UACGGAGGGUGCAAGCGUUAUCCGGAUUCACUGGGUUUAAAGGGUGCGUAGGUGGGUCUGUAAGUCCGUGGUGAAAUCUCCAGCUUAACUUGGAAACUGCCAUGGAUACUAUAGGUCUUGAAUACCGUGGAGGUGAGCGGAAUAUGUCAUGUAGCGGUGAAAUGCUUAGAUAUGACAUAGAACACCAAUUGCGAAGGCAGCUCACUACGCAGUUAUUGACGCUGAGGCACGAAAGCGUGGGGAUCAAACAGG
rnacentral:rRNA from 1 species